GUCAGGUGUCUAUGACCUAACAGAGAAGUCCGGUGCGAAACCGGCGCGGUCCCGCCGCCGUAAGGAUGAGGGCGAUUGCAUGAUGUCACUGUACGUUUGUAUGGGAAGGCGCAAUCGCGCAAUGAAGCCGAGCCGGAAGAACUGCCUGACUG
rnacentral:ncRNA from 1 species